rnacentral:rRNA from 1 species
GAUGAACGCUAGCGGCAGGCCUAAUACAUGCAAGUCGAACGGUGUCUUCGGACAUAGUGGCGCACGGGUGCGCAACACGUAUGCAACCUACCUUACAUUGGGGGAUAGCCUUUCGAAAGGGAGAUUAAUACCGCAUAAGACAGUAGCUGGGCAUCCAGCAGCUGUUAAAGAUUUAUCGAUGUAAGAUGGGCAUGCGUCCAAUUAGUUAGUUGGCGAGGUAACGGCUCACCAAGACUUUGAUUGGUAGGGGAACUGAGAGGUCAAUCCCCCACACUGGCACUGAGAUACGGGCCAGACUCCUACGGGAGGCAGCAGUAGGGAAUAUUGGGCAAUGGACGCAAGCCUGACCCAGCCAUGCCGCGUGCAGGAUGAAGGCGUUAUGCGUUGUAAACUGCUUUUAUACAGGAAGAAACGACUCUUGCGGGAGGCAUUGACGGUACUGUAUGAAUAAGCACCGGCUAACUUCGUGCCAGCCGCCGCGGUAAAAC